UGCAGGACGCAGCAGUGGGGAAUUUUGGACAAUGGGGGAAGCCUGAUCCAGCCAUCCCGCGUGUGUGAUGAAGGCCUUCGGGUUGUAAAAAACUUUGGCAGGAAAGAAACGGCGCGGGAUAAUACCCUGCAGCAAACAGUACCUACAGAAUAAGCACCGAUAACUACGUGCCAGCAGCCGCAGUAAUACGUAGGGUGCAAGCGUUAAUCGGAUUACUGGGCGUAAAGAAGCGUGCGCAGGCGGUUCGGAAAGAAAGAUGUAGAAAUCCAGAGCUUAACUUUGGAGUUACAUUUUAACUACCGAGCUGGGUGUCAGAGGGGUGAGAUUCCCGCGUGUAGCAGUGAAAUGCGUGAAUAUGCGGAGGAACACCGAUGGCGAAGGCGACCUCCUGGGAUAACACUGACGCUCAUGCACGAAAGCGUGGGGAGCAAACAGGAUUAGAUACGGGUAGUCCUAG
rnacentral:misc_RNA from 1 species